rnacentral:rRNA from 1 species
AUCAACUUUCGAUGGUAGGAUAGAGGCCUACCAUGGUGGUAACGGGUAACGGGGUGUUAGGGCACGACACCGGAGAGGGAGCCUGAGAAACGGCUACCACAUCCAAGGAUGGCAGCAGGCGCGCAAAUUACCCAAUCCCGACACGGGGAGGUAGUGACAAUAAAUAACAAUACGGGGUUCUUUCGGAUCUCGUAAUUGGAAUGAGUACAAUUUAAAUCUCUUAACGAGGAACAAUUGGAGGGCAAGUCUGGUGCCAGCAGCCGCGGUAAUUCCAGCUCCAAUAGCGUAUAUUAAAGUUGUUGCAGUUAAAAAGCUCGUAGUUGAAUUUCGGGACCAAUUUGUUGGUCGUGCCUCGGUACGUACUGGUAUUAUUGGUUUCUACCUUCUGAAGAACCUUGAUGUCAUUAAUUUGGUGUCUUGGGGAAUCAGGACUGUUACUUUGAAAAAAUUAGAGUGUUUAAAGCAAGCAUACGCUUGAAUACAUUAGCAUGGAAUAAUGAAAUAGGACGUUUGAUUCUAUUUUGUUGGUUUCUAGGAUCGACGUAAUGAUUAAUAGGGAUAGUUGGGGGCAUUAGUAUUCAAUUGUCAGAGGUGAAAUUCUUGGAUUUAUUGAAGACUAACUACUGCGAAAGCAUUUGCCAAGGAUGUUUUCAUUAAUCAAGAACGAAAGUUAGGGGAUCGAAGACGAUCAGAUACCGUCGUAGUCUUAACCAUAAACUAUGCCGACUAGGGAUCGGAUGAUGUUAAUUUUUUAAUGACUCAUUCGGCGCCUUACGGGAAACCAAAGUGUUUGGGUUC